rnacentral:rRNA from 1 species
UACGUAGGGUGCAAGCGUUAAUCGGAAUUACUGGGCGUAAAGCGUGCGCAGGCGGUUGUGCAAGACAGAGGUGAAAUCCCCGAGCUUAACUUGGGAACUGCCUUUGUGACUGCACGGCUAGAGUGUGUCAGAGGGGGGUAGAAUUCCACGUGUAGCAGUGAAAUGCGUAGGGAUGUGGAGGAAUACCGAUGGCGAAGGCAGCCCCCUGGGAUAACACUGACGCUCAUGCACGAAAGUGUGGGGAGCAAACAGG